rfam:Rattus norvegicus chromosome 1, whole genome shotgun sequence.
GGGGAUUUAGCUCAGUGGUAGAGCGCUUGCCUAGCAAGCGCAAGGCCCUGGGUUCAAUCCCCAGCUCCA